AUGAAGAAAUUAAGAAAACAGAACAGCUUUCGGCUUUGGGCUCGGAGGAGGCCAAGGUACAACUUUCUUCGGUUGUCCCGAAUCUGGUUUCAUCCAACACCAGCCGCCUCCACCAUGCCGCUGAAGUGGAGAUCAAAGUCGUAUACCUGAGGUGCACUGGGGGUAAAGUCGGUGCCACUUCUGCGCUGGCCCCCAAGAUCGGCCCCCUGGGUCUGUCUCCAAACAAGGUUGGUGAUGACAUUGCCAAGGCAACGGGUGACUGGAAGGGCCUGAGGAUUACAGUGAAACUGACCGUUCAGAACAGACAGGCCCAGACUGAGGUGGUGCCUUCUGCCUCUGCCCUGAUCAUCAAAGCCCUUAAGGAACCACCAAGAGACAGAAAGAAACAGAAAAACAUUAAACACAGCAGGAAUAUCACUUUCGAUGAGAUUGUCAACAUUGCUCGACAGAUGCAGCACCGAUCUUUAGCCAGAGAACUCUCUGGAACCAUUAAAGAGAUCCUGGGGACUGCCCAGUCUGUGGGCUGUAAUGUUGAUGGCCACCACCCUCAUGACAUCAUAGAUGACAUCAACAGUGGUGCUGUGGAAUGCCCAGCUAGUUAAGAAGCACAAAGGAAAAUAUUUCAAUAAAGGUCCUUUAACAACUGAGAAAAAAAAAAAAAAAAA